rnacentral:rRNA from 1 species
UACAGAGGUCUCAAGCGUUGUUCGGAUUCAUUGGGCGUAAAGGGUGCGUAGGCGGCGCGGUAAGUCGGGUGUGAAAUCUCGGAGCUUAACUCCGAAACUGCAUUCGAAACUGCCGUGACUCGAGUCCGGUAGGGGAGUGUGGAAUUCCCGGUGUAGCGGUGAAAUGCGCAGAUAUCGGGAGGAACACCAGUAGCGAAGGCGGCACUCUGGGCCGGUACUGACGCUGAGGAGCGAAAGCGUGGGGAGCGAACAGG